rnacentral:rRNA from 1 species
CUUACGGGUGGCAGCAGUGAGGAAUAUUGGUCAAUGGACGAGAGUCUGAACCAGCCAAGUAGCGUGAAGGAUGACUGCCCUAUGGGUUGUAAACUUCUUUUGUCUGGGAGUAAAAUGUUCGACGUGUGGGAUUUUGUAUGUACCAGGUGAAUAAGCAUCGGCUAACUCCGUGCCAGCAGCCGCGGUAAAACGGAGGAUCAGAGCGUUAUCCGGAUUUAUUGGGUUUAAAGGGAGCGUAGGCCGGCUUUUAAGGUAGCGGGGAAAGUCGGCGGCUCAACCGUUGACUUGCAGUUGAAACUGGAUGCCUUGAGUGCACACAGGGAAGCCGGAAUGCAUGGUGUAGCGGUGAAAUGCUUAGAUAUCAUGAAGAACUCCGAUCGCGAAGGCAAGUUUCCGGGGUGCAACUGACGCUGAGGCUCGAAAGUGCGGGUAUCAAACAGGAUUAGAUACCCGGGUAGUC